GACGAACGCUGGCGGCGUGCUUAACACAUGCAAGUCGAACGGAAGGGCCCUGCUUUUGUGUGGUGCUCGAGUGGCGAACGGGUGAGUAACCCGUGAGUAACCUGCCCUUGACUUUGUGAUAACUGCAGGCAACUGGGGCUAAUACCGGCUAGCAGCUCCUGCUGCAUGGUGGGGGUUGGACAGUUUCGGCGGUUGUGGAUGGACUUGCGGCUUAUUAGCUUGUUGGUGGGGUAGUGGCCUACCAAGGCGUCGACCGGUAGCCGGCCUGAGAGUGUGAUCGGUCACACUGGAACUGAGACACGGUCCAGACUCCUACGGUAGGCAGCAGUGGGGAAUAUUGGACAAUGGGCGAAAGCCUGAUCCAGCCAUGCCGCGUGUGUGAAGAAGGUCUUCGGAUUGUAAAGCACUUUAAGUUGGGAGGAAGGGCAGUAAGUUAAUACCUUGCUGUUUUGACGUUACCGACAGAAUAAGCACCGGCUAACUUCGUG
rnacentral:rRNA from 1 species